GUGCCUUCCACAGCCCCCUCUGAUCGUAUUACCGAAAAACUUUGCUUCGCAGAGCCCAUUUUUAACACACCUAAGAAAACGCCUGCAAUGGACAAGAGAUCUUUUGAAAUUGAAUGGCGAGCUACGACAAACCAAAAACUAUAACCGGGGAGGGAAAGAACUCCUCCACUUGGGCUAUUGUCUUGGCUUGGAGGCCUCUACACCUGCGAUCGGUCCUAUCGCUUUUCCAUUUCAGCUGUUGACGAGGCGGCAUUCAGCCCACAAUUCCAUCGGCCCUUCUAUAUCCUUUCUCCACCUCCCAUAAGAACGGCCCUUUUGCUCCGCUGCUUCACUGGGUCAGAGGAUAAACACUUAAUUUAGAACAUUGAUUAAAAUCAACAUAGAAUACCAUCACUGUGGACGGCAGUCCACGUAGUGACGAAGCGCACCAGAAGGGUGGGCGAAGGCGAAUACUAUAUAUACACGAAGAAAUGAAAACUCACAAUCAUCUCCCGAUGGUUACAAGUUAUACAUCAAUCGAAAGCACAAAACUUAACUUAGGCUUCUAGCUGCAUCUGUAUGGUUCGGAAAUAUGGCUGCGACUAUACCCAUAUCGGCUGAUCAUCUUCGCUUCUGCCCCCCGGCAGAGCGAUCCGUGAUUAAUCCUCAGAUGGCCAGAUCGCCCGCCAAAAUCAUCCCACUGCUUCAACUAUCGCCCAAUCGGCCCAACCUAUCGAUAGAGUCACUCCCAUCAUAGACUCCAAUUGCAACAUCAACCAAAGAUUUCGAGAGGUGCUACCCGGGGUUUCAGCAGAACGACGAACUAUUUGAUAGCUUUGGAGAUAGAAUGGGACUAAACCCGGCACUGAUACCAUCUUGACCUUGACGAAAAUCGAAUGUCCUUGGCGUAAUACACUCCAAAACUGCGGCCUUGGAGUGUGCGUCUGAAAAUCUGGAGCGAGGAUUAGCAAGUCGUCCAAAUACACAAAAACGUUGGAUCUGAGCUCUGCUGGUAUCGCCCGAUCCAUAAGCCGCACCAAGCGUUGUGUCGCUUUGCACAGCCCGAAUGGCAUCAUUCGAAACUGGUACAACGGUCUGCCUGGAAACGUGAAUGCAGUGUACUCCUUGCUUCGGUUGUCCAGUUCGAUCUGUCAAAACGCAAACUUGAGGUAUACGCUGGAGAUGUAGUGCGACUGAUCUAUCCUGGAGAGAAUCCCUUUAAUGCUGGACAGAGGAUAAACAUAUUUAAUGGUCAAUGCGUUCAACUUCCGGGAAUCCAGGCAGAACACUGUUGUACGAUUGCUCCAUGGGCUUUUGCUCUCUUUGUACUUCACAGGCAGCUCCACGCGUCCGAUAAUGGAUCGGUCCUCGCCAGAAGCCGUCCGGACUACGGAAAAGUACGGUUGGGCCGUAACUCCCAGUGUUUCUACCAGCUCCCGACAACAAUUCCCAGCACACUUACACUGGCCCCCGUUUCCAACAAGCCAGUGGACUGCUUGCCCAAUGCCUCCACGUCGGCGAAGGGUCUAGGAUCAGCGGAAUCUAUACGCUUCACAGCCGCCACCACCUCUAGUCGUCUGGAUCUCCUUAUCGUGAAAAGACUAGCCGCAGGCCGCUCAGCUCAUGUUCCGCAAAUAUCCGGUUCCGUGCCUCAAUAUAGCGAUGAAACCUUUUUUGGCGUAAUUACGCCAAGUCUGCCGCACCGGAAACAAAAUCUCCUCCACAUCGUAGCCUGCCCUAAAUGGGUUGCGACUACGCCCGAUGGGCUCGCCCACUUCGAUGUUUCGCUGCUCGUCGACCUCGUCUCCGCUCUGUUUCCAAUUUCCCUACUUAGCUGACUCCCCCGUCACUACUCUCUGGCAAUUGCAAUCUAUGUUGCAAGCCACAGUUCGGUGUGGCGGGAAAGCCAGGGUCGUAAAUGGGCGAGACGUCGUCGCCUCGAAAAUUUAUUUAGUUUUACUUGGGCACCGCUAGCUCAGUCUGCCUCAGGGCAGAGUACCCCUAAUGCCACAGCUCGCAACAUAAAAAAACAUAUACAACUCCGCUGUCUCGCAUCACUGAAACUAUCGGACAUCACUAAGAACAAAGCGUAAACAAAGGUACAUAUUUACAAACAUCGACAGAGAUUCGAGUUUUCUUUGGUGGCUUUUGAUGUUUCAGCCAAGCGCUCCCUCCCUACCAUGGGUACCUUCUAUAUGCUGCUGGGCACCACCCAAACUCGGCCGGACGGCGACCCUCCUCGCGACUACGGCGGUUCCAUCUCCUCCACUGGGACAAUUUACUCACACAUGGUGGAUUUUACAAACAUUUAAUGAAUAUGAUAAGUACAAUAAUUUAUAAGCAUUUUCCUCCUAACCGAUCUAUCCUUCCUUGCCUUAAAGACCAAGACUUGGCCACCAGUCAUAUAUUGGUAGAGCUCAAAAAGUACACACGCGGGGUGUGCGAAUUAGGUUUCUCACUUGUGAUUUAAUUAAAAAAAAUUAUUUUUAUUUAUUAAUCACUUAAUCUCUGCUACAAUUUUUUAAUAGGUCGAACUUAGUUAAUUCACUGCUCGUUUACUUUUCCUCGAUUUGCACUACUGCUCGAUUCGGAUCUCAAAAACGGACUGCCUGAUCUCUAGUUCAAUGAUCCAUAAUCAAACCUCGGCUUAAGAGAAUUUAUCCCCACAAAUUGAUAAGGAGAAUGGCUCAAGAGAGUCGGAAAAUAGGAUGAUGCAAUUUGCCAAUUAAAUUUGAAGUCCACUCUUGGCCGGAAAUUGGUGUUUACAUUAGCGGAGUUUUAGGGACCGCUUUGGGGAUCUUUUUGUUUACGUUAACGGACUCGGGGCUCGCUUUGGGGAUCUUUUGUUUACGUUAGCGGACUGGAUGUUUAGAGCAUCCGUUUGAUUUGGGUUGCGUGAAAUUGUUCUGGGUGGGAAUGAUUCGAAGGUCUGUUUGAAAGAAAUAGCUGACCACGGAUUUAUCUCGGGUCUGUCAGAGUUAUUUGGAAAUUGGCUCUCGGCUCAAAGUUGUUUAUAAAUUGGGUAAGAGCCCCUAAAUAAUUUGUGAUAUAACUCCCCCAUUCUAAAUUGAAUCGUCCCGAUUCAUUGGAACUGAUGGGUAUAUUGAAUGUAAUUGUUGGGUUAAUUCGACAAUGAUAUUUUCUUCUAGGGUAUUUUCAUUGUCGGGUAUAUUAUUUAUUUCAUUAUCGGAAAUAUUAUUUUCUGGUUCAAUUUCUAUAUGAAUUUGCCAUGGUUUGAAUAUUAAAAAUGUUCUGAAUUUGAUUAUAAUCAUAAUAGUUAAAUAUAUAAAUGUGAAUAUGAUUAAUAUUAACGUAACUGGUAUUUGAGUUUGUUUAAUUUGAAUAAAUGGAUUUAGUAUGUUAAUAUCAUCGAAUGUGAGUUCCAAAUCAUUAGAUACAAUAUAUCCGGAUACUAAAAAAUCUGUAUAUUUUCGAGCUGUGAUGUAUUCCAAUAUCUUAUUGUCUACAUUGGUGUAGGAAAUAUUAUUAAGUUUAGUGGUGCCAUUAAGUUAUUAAAUAUGACCCAUUUAAAUAAGUGUCAUUAACUGUAUUUUCUCCAUUUACAAAAAUGGCUCCAUCUUGGAUUACAUCUACAUUUUUAUUUUUUUCUCGGAUUUUGAUACAAAAGGAUUUUUCUCCAUUUAGUAAUCUAGUGAAACAAGAGCCUUCUGGGUUAAGUGUGCAAUAAUUAUUAAAUAUUUCUGUCUUAAAAUAAGACAUUACAUGGUACUUAUUUCUACAUUUUGCGACGUGAUUAUCAAUUAAUAAUUUUCCAUCAUUAUGUGAAAUGGAUCUUGAAUUGUAAACGUCACAACGAUCGGUAAUAAUAGGGUAUUUUAUGUAAAUUAUAAUAAGAUCUUGAUGCAAAGCGAUUUUAAAUUCAGAUAUAUUUAAAAGGUCUGUUAUAACUACAGGUCUAUAUUCGUGCUUAUAAAUUUCUAGUAUAUCAUCAUUGUUUAGAAUUUUAGUAUUAAAUACAUCAAUUUUGGCAAGUGUAAUUGUGUCUUCAGGAUCGGUCAAAGCAGAGGAACUUGUUUUUUAAUGGAAAAGGCUACAGGAUCCGCGGAAAGUUAUGCUCUACCAGUCAUGUAUUGGUAGAGCUCGCAUGGAAACACGGCCCUCAAAAAGUACACAUGCAGGGUGUGCGUGUUGGGUCACCUAAUCCUGAGGAGCUCCUGGGGAAAAGAAAGGAAUGGCCAAAAUGCAAACGACGAGGACAAAUGCGGCUCUCGGGUAUAAAUCUGGAUAAAUGAACAAUUACACAGGCAAG